AAAAAUCUGCAUCUGCGUACACCCGAUCAAAUGACUCUCCCCUCUCUCACUCCUUCGUAUUCCCUUUCUUCCUCGCUUUUUCCACUCAAUCCCUGAAGCUCUCGACCCCCUCAUCCCGCAUGGCGCUCGACCCAAACGGUAGCAGAGCUCAAUUCAGACGAUGAAGAAGACCCAAACGGUGGUCUGAAAAAAUGGAGAUGUCGGCGUCGGACUGAGAUGGUGGCAGUGGAACUAAGCUUUGUUGGGCGGCAAGGAUUGAUGGCUGUGCAAAGCAACGCUGAGCUUGGAGCGAAGACGGAAUGAACCUGAGAGAGAAUGGAGAUGCUAAUUUCUGGGCUGCUUUUCAGGCUUUGACAGACGGACCGCUCCACAGCGCCUCGCAAAAAAAAAUAUAAAAAAAACUACCCUCUGCUCCUAUUAACGAAAACAUCCAAAACCCAAAAAGUAAUCUCACCGACUCCACUCUCCACUAAAAACAAGUAUUGAAUAAAAAUAAGAAACAAUGAAUGCCCUUCCAGGUCUUGCGUGAUUUCCUCUGGCAGUCCUGCAUGCCCCUG